CAGUCGCCGCGGGAACACGAAGGGGGCUAGCGUUGUUCGGAAUUACUGGGCGUAAAGCGCACGUAGGCGGAUCAGAAAGUCAGAGGUGAAAUCCCAGGGCUCAACCUUGGAACUGCCUUUGAAACUCCUGAUCUUGAGGUCGAGAGAGGUGAGUGGAAUUCCGAGUGUAGAGGUGAAAUUCGUAGAUAUUCGGAGGAACACCAGUGGCGAAGGCGGCUCACUGGCUCGAUACUGACGCUGAGGUGCGAAAGCGUGGGGAGCAAACAGGAUUAGAUACCCCUGUAGUCCCUGUCUCUUAUAC
rnacentral:rRNA from 1 species